UACGAAGGGGGCUAGCGUUGCUCGGAAUCACUGGGCGUAAAGCGCACGUAGGCGGCUUUUUAAGUCAGGGGUGAAAUCCUGGAGCUCAACUCCAGAACUGCCUUUGAUACUGAGAAGCUUGAGUCCGGGAGAGGUGAGUGGAACUGCGAGUGUAGAGGUGAAAUUCGUAGAUAUUCGCAAGAACACCAGUGGCGAAGGCGGCUCACUGGCUCAUUACUGACGCUCAGGCGCGAUAGCGUGGGGAUCAAACAGG
rnacentral:rRNA from 1 species